rnacentral:lncRNA from 1 species
AUGGAAGAACUGAUCAAUACUCAGUCAGACGCUGUUGGUAGACUGGCAUUCAGAUACAUGGAGAUGUGUAAAGUAGACUCCAGCUCAGACUCCGAAUCAGAGUCCAACCCCAGAUGGUCUGAUGUCAGCAGCAAGGGCUGUGAAAGCAGCACUCCAGAAGCUCCUCAGAAACUCCAGCAAAACUACCAGCAGGUAAACACAACCCUGACUCGCUUCUUUAGUCACAA